CCAUUGAGAAGGCACUUGCUGACGCUAAAGCCCUUGUUGAAAGGUUGAGAGAUCAUGAUGAUGCAGCAGAGUCUCUCAUCGAGCAGACCACUGCCCUCAGCAAGCGAGUGGAAGCGAUGAAGCAGUAUCAGGAAGAAAUCCAAGAACUUAAUGAAGUAGCAAGACAUCGGCCACGAUCCACACUAGUUAUGGGAAUCCAGCAAGAAAACAGACAAAUCAGAGAAUUACAACAAGAGAACAAAGAACUGCGGACAUCCCUGGAAGAGCACCAGUCUGCCCUGGAACUGAUAAUGAGCAAGUACCGAGAGCAGAUGUUCAGACUGCUCAUGGCCAGCAAGAAAGAUGACCCAGGUAUAAUAAUGAAGUUAAAAGAGCAACACUCAAAGGAGUUGCAAGCACAUGUUGACCAAAUCACCGAGAUGGCAGCAGUAAUGAGAAAAGCUAUUGAAAUUGACGAGCAGCAGGGUUGCAAGGAACAGGAGCGGAUAUUUCAACUUGAACAAGAAAAUAAAGGCUUGAGAGAGAUCCUUCAGAUAACUCGAGAAUCCUUUUUGAACCUUCGGAAGGAUGAUGCAUCAGAGAGUACAUCUCUAUCUGCCUUAGUGACUAACAGUGACCUGAGUCUGAGGAAGAGCUGAGUGGCUUUCUGUGUGGUCACUAGAAUGGGCCCAGAAGUGAGUGGAUGUGUGAACAUAAAACCCAACUUCAGUCAGCCUUUUCCCUCUGGUAUGUACAGGGACACUGGCAGAGAGACAGCAGCAGAAAGUAUAACCAGUGGUCAUAAACCAGAUCCCAAUCACAGUCAGAAAGGAGAAGCUGAGCCACAGUGAACAGCGAGUNUUCAAGGUCCUGCUGAGCACUGCAGUUUCAGAAGUGCUGUUGGCUUCUUAGAUGCUACAUAGAUCACCCUGAAUACUCCUAAUAAAUGUUGGAAAGCCUAAAUUAUCACAAUUUUU